GAAAAAGAACACUGUAACAGCAAACACUUCUCUCCAAGAAUGGCUCUAAUGGCCGUUUCUCAAAUAACUACUUUAACGAUCUCCAACACCGGCAUAACGGCCACCUCAACUCCCCAGAAACUCCAUAAGCUAAACACCAAACCUCUAAACUCAACAAUCAAAUCUCUCUCCAAAAGCGGCAAAUUAGACGAAGCUCUUCACCUGAUCGAAUCCCAACCAUUGAAAUCUCCCUCCACCCACCUCAGUCCGGACUCCUAUGCCGCCGUCCUCCACGCCUGCAUUUCAAGAAAAUCGUUCGAACACGGCCAAAGGCUAUAUCUCCACCUUCUCCUCCACCACGCCAACGGUGACUUUCUCAGCAACCCUGUACUGAAAUCCAAGUUUAUUACCCUCUUCUCUGUUUGUGGCCGGCUCGACGAGGCUCGUCGUGUUUUCGAGCAUGGUGUUGAGGCCGAGGACCUGCCCGAGUCUGUCUGGGUGGCGAUGGCUAUUGGGUACUCCAAAAAUGGGUGUUCCAAAGAAGCACUGUUUCUUUAUUCUGAAAUGCUGUCCCAUGUCAACGGGCCCGGGAAUUUUGCAUUUUCCGUAGCGGUGAAGGCUUGUUCGGAUUUGUUGGACUUGACAGUCGGUAGAGCGGUUCAUGCCCAGAUUAUAAAAUCUACUACGGAGCCUGACCAAGUUGUAUACAAUGGCCUUUUGACUAUGUACAUGGAAUGUGGGUGCUUCGAAGAUGUGCUGAAGGUGUUUGAGAAAAUGCCUGAAAGGAAUGUUGUAAGCUGGAACUCUUUGAUUUCGGGUUUUGUUAAGAGAGAUAUGGUAUUUGAGGCCUUUGAAACCUUCCGGAGAAUGCAAAGAGCAGAGGUGGGGUAUAGCUGGGUAACUUUUACUACAGUUUUGGCAUUGUGUGCUGAUCUAACAUCAAUUUACAGUGGGAAAGAGAUACAUGCUCAAAUUGUGAAAUCAUCUGGGACACCGGACGUUCUAGUGCUCAAUUCAGUCUUGGAUAUGUAUGCCAAAUGUGGAGAAAUAAAGUACUGUCGAAGAGUGUUUGACAAAAUGAAGUACAAGGAUCUAACAUCAUGGAAUACUAUGAUUAAUGGGUGUGCAAUCAAUGGACUUAUGGCAGAAGCUAUGGAGUUGUUUGGUGAGAUGGCUGGCUGUGGAGUUGAGCCUGAUGGGGUGACAUUUAUUGCUUUAUUGUCUGGUUGUAGCCACAAAGGGCUUACCGAUCUUGGGCAAGUAUUGUUCGAGAGAAUGAGUGCAGAGUUCAGAAUCGAGCCUUUUGUAGAGCAUUAUGCUUGUUUGGUGGAUGCAUUAGGUAGAGCCGGGAAAAUCAAAGAGGCUUUGCAAGUAGUGAAAACGAUGCCUAUGAAACCAAGUGGUAGCGUUUUGGGAUCAGUGCUAAAUUCAUGUAAAAUCCAUGGAAACGUCUCUCUUGCAGAGGCGGUGGCAAUACGACUCUUUGAGAUAGAACCGAACAAUGCAGGAAACUAUAUAAUGCUGUCGAACAUCUAUGCUAAAGCUGGGAGUUGGGAGAGAGUUAAAAAGCUGAGGGAGAUGAUGGAGAAGAGGGGAGUUAAAAAAGAUGCUGGAUGCAGCUGGAUACAGGUUAAAAGUAAAGUGCACACUUUCGUGGCUAGUGGUGGUUUUGAACUCCGUAAUUCAGAUGAAUAUAAGAAAAUAUGGAAUGAGUUAGAGGAAGCUAUUGAAGCAGUUGGGUAUAAACCCGAUACAGGCGUUGUUCUUCAUGAUGUGAAUGAAGAAAUGAAGGCAGAGUGGGUAUGUGGGCACAGUGAAAGGCUAGCAACAGUAUUCGGGUUGAUUAAUACAGGUUCUGGAGUUCCCAUUAGGAUCACGAAGAAUCUUCGUGUUUGUGCAGAUUGUCACACUUGGAUGAAAUUUGUGUCAGAAGUAACACGGAGAAGAAUUAUAUUGAGAGAUACAAAUAGGUUCCACCAUUUUGAAAAAGGGGACUGCUCUUGCAAUGACUAUUGGUAAUGUCCAAGCUGAUGUGAGAAGAUACUAUUCCUUUUGCAGAGAAUCUAAUAGGCAUCUUGAGAAAACUCAUGGUAUCAGAUACCAAAGGAAAAGGGCUGCUAAUACCAAAAUGAUCCCUACAGUACCGACUACACCCGCAAGAAGAAUAGGUUUCUUCUUCCC